rnacentral:rRNA from 1 species
GUGGGGAAUAUUGCGCAAUGGGCGAAAGCCUGACGCAGCGACGCCGCGUGAGGGAUGAAGGUCUUCGGAUCGUAAACCUCUGUCAGGAGGGAAGAAGUGGUUAUAUGCGAAUAGUGUAUGACUUUGACGGUACCUCCAAAGGAAGCACCGGCUAACUCCGUGCCAGCAGCCGCGGUAAUACGGAGGGUGCGAGCGUUAAUCGGAAUCACUGGGCGUAAAGCGCGCGUAGGCGGCUUUUCAAGUCAGGGGUGAAAUCCCACGGCCCAACCGUGGAACUGCCUUUGAAACUGUAGAGCUUGAGUGUCGGAGAGGGUGGCGGAAUUCCAGGUGUAGGAGUGAAAUCCGUAGAUAUCUGGAGGAACACCGGUGGCGAAGGCGGCCACCUGGACGACAACUGACGCUGAGGUGCGAAAGCGUGGGUAGCAAACAGG